GAUGAACGCUGGCGGCGUGCCUAAUACAUGCAAGUCGAGCGAACGGACGAGAAGCUUGCUUCUCUGAUGUUAGCGGCGGACGGGUGAGUAACACGUGGAUAACCUACCUAUAAGACUGGGAUAACUUCGGGAAACCGGAGCUAAUACCGGAUGAUAUUUUGAACCGCAUGGUUCAAAAGUGAAAGACGGUCUUGCUGUCACUUAUAGAUGGAUCCGCGCUGCAUUAGCUAGUUGGUAAGGUAACGGCUUACCAAGGCAACGAUGCAUAGCCGACCUGAGAGGGGGAGAGGGCAAACUGGAAAGUGUGAAGGGUGCAGAAGACUACGGGAGGAAGCAGAGGGGAAGAGGGAGGAAUGGGCGAAAGUAGUAAGAAGUAAUGAGGAGGGAAGAAGGAAGGUGUCAGGAGAUUAAAACACUGUGAGGAGGAAAGAACAAAUGUGUAAGGAAAAAGGCAGGGAGGCAGGGGGGGUAAUCAGAGAGAGACGGCGAGCUAAGGG
rnacentral:rRNA from 1 species